rnacentral:rRNA from 1 species
GAUGAACGCUGGCGGCGUGCCUAAUACAUGCAAGUCGAGCGAACGGACGAGAAGCUUGCUUCUCUGAUGUUAGCGGCGGACGGGUGAGUAACACGUGGAUAACCUACCUAUAAGACUGGGAUAACUUCGGGAAACCGGAGCUAAUACCGGAUAAUAUUUUGAACCGCAUGGUUCAAAAGUGAAAGACGGUCUUGCUGUCACUUAUAGAUGGAUCCGCGCUGCAUUAGCUAGUUGGUAAGGUAACGGCUUACCAAGGUAACGAUGCAUAGCCGACCUGAGAGGGUGAUCGGCCACACUGGAACUGAGACACGGUCCAGACUCCUACGGGAGGCAGCAGUAGGGAAUCUUCCGCAAUGGGCGAAAGCCUGACGGAGCAACGCCGCGUGAGUGAUGAAGGUCGUCGGAUCGUAAAACUCUGUUAUUAGGGAAGAACAUAUGUGUAAGUAACUGUGCACAUCUUGACGGUACCUAAUCAGAAAGCCACGGCUAACUACGUG